AUUAGCGGUCAUGCCGCAGGGGAAACACCUGGACUCUUUUCGAACCCAGAAGUUAAGACCUGCAGGGAUUGGUUUGGCACUGAGCUGCUGCUUGGAGCCUGCCAGACGCUGCUAAUC
rnacentral:rRNA from 1 species